UACAGAGGUCUCAAGCGUUGUUCGGAUUCAUUGGGCGUAAAGGGUGCGUAGGUGGCGCGCUAAGUCAGGUGUGAAAUUUCGGAGCUUAACUCCGAAACUGCAUUCGAUACUGCCGUGCUUGAGGACUGGAGAGGAGACUGGAAUUUACGGUGUAGCGGUGAAAUGCGUAGAUAUCGUAAGGAAGACCAGUGGCGAAGGCGGGUCUCUGGACAGUGCCUGACGCUGAGGCACGAAGGUCAGGGGAGCAAACGGG
rnacentral:rRNA from 1 species